UGGGGAAUUUUGGACAAUGGGGGAAACCCUGAUCCAGCCAUCCCGAGUGUGCGAUGAAGGCCUUCGGGUUGUAAAGCACUUUUGGCAGGAAAGAAACGUCAUGGGUUAAUACCCCGUGAAACUGACGGUACCUGCAGAAUAAGCACCGGCUAACUACGUGCCAGCAGCCGCGGUAAUACGUAGGGUGCAAGCGUUAAUCGGAAUUACUGGGCGUAAAGCGUGCGCAGGCGGUUCGGAAAGAAAGAUGUGAAAUCCCAGAGCUCAACUUUGGAACUGCAUUUUUAACUACCGGGCUAGAGUGUGUCAGAGGGAGGUGGAAUUCCGCGUGUAGCAGUGAAAUGCGUAGAUAUGCGGAGGAACACCGAUGGCGAAGGCAGCCUCCUGGGAUAACACUGACGCUCAUGCACGAAAGCGUGGGGAGCAAACAGG
rnacentral:rRNA from 1 species